AGAGUUUGAUCCUGGCUCAGGACGAACGCUGGCGGCGUGCUUAACACAUGCAAGUCGAACGAUGAAGCUGGAGCUUGCUCCGGCGGAUUAGUGGCGAACGGGUGAGUAACACGUGAGCAAUCUGCCCUUGACUCUGGGAUAACUGCGGGAAACUGUAGCUAAUACCGGAUACUUUCCUCGGUGGGCAUCCACUGAGGAAGAAAGAAUUUCGGUCAAGGAUGAGCUCGCGACCUAUCAGCUAGUUGGUGAGGUAAAGGCUCACCAAGGCGACGACGGGUAGCCGGCCUGAGAGGGUGACCGGCCACACUGGGACUGAGACACGGCCCAGACUCCUACGGGAGGCAGCAGUGGGGAAUAUUGCACAAUGGACGAAAGUCUGAUGCAGCAACGCCGCGUGAGGGACGAAGGCCUUCGGGUUGUAAACCUCUUUUAGCAGGGAAGAAGCGAAAGUGACGGUACCUGCAGAAAAAGCACCGGCUAACUACGUGCCAGCAGCCGCGGUAAUACGUAGGGUGCAAGCGUUGUCCGGAAUUAUUGGGCGUAAAGAGCUCGUAGGCGGUUUGUCGCGUCUGCUGUGAAAUUUCGAGGCUCAACCUCGAACUUGCAGUGGGUACGGGCAGGCUAGAGUGCAGUAGGGGAGAUGGGAAUUCCUGGUGUAGCGGUGGAAUGCGCAGAUAUCAGGAGGAACACCAAUGGCGAAGGCACAUCUCUGGGCUGUAACUGACGCUGAGGAGCGAAAGCGUGGGGAGCGAACAGGAUAGAUACCCUGGUAGUCCACGCCGUAAACGGUGGGUGCUAGCUGU
rnacentral:rRNA from 1 species